rnacentral:rRNA from 1 species
UACAGAGGGUGCGAGCGUUAAUCGGAGUUACUGGGCGUAAAGGGCGCGUAGGUGGUUGAAUAAGUGAGAUGUGAAAUCCCUGGGCUUAACCUAGGAACUGCAUCUUAUACUGUUUAGCUAGAGUACUGUAGAGGGUAGUGGAAUUUCCGGUGUAGCGGUGAAAUGCGUAGAGAUCGGAAGGAACAUCAGUGGCGAAGGCGGCUACCUGGACAGAUACUGACACUGAGGCGCGAGAGCGUGGGGAGCAAACAGG